rnacentral:rRNA from 1 species
CCUACGGGUGGCAGCAGUGAGGAAUAUUGGUCAAUGGGCGGAAGCCUGAACCAGCCAAGUAGCGUGCGGGAUGAAGGCGCUAAGGAUUGUAAACCGCUUUUGCAAGGGGAUAACAUCCUCCACUAGAGGAGGUCUGAAGGUACCGUGAGAAAAAGGGUCGGCUAAUUCCGUGCCAGCAGCCGCGGUAAUACGGAGGGCCCGAGCGUUAUCCGGAUUCAUUGGGCUUAAAGGGAGCGUAGGCGGGCGGUCAAGUCAGCGGUAAAAUCGCGCGGCUCAACCCCGCCCCGCAGUUGAAACUGGACGUCUUGAGUUCACAACAGGUAUGCGGAAUGCGUGGUGUAGCGGUGAAAUGCAUAGAUAUCGCGAGGAACCCCGAUUGCGAAGGCAGCCUGCCGGGGUGCGACUGACGCUGAGGCACGAAGGUGCGGGUAUCAAACAGGAUUAGAUACCCGAGUAGUC